GGUAGGCACCCUGUGUGCGCAGGCCAUACCGGUACUGGUGCAGAAAUCUCUGAUCAAAGGUGCAGGGAUGCACCUUGACCUGGAGUCGAGCACCCACAGGGACACUCAUCUCGACAAAUUCAGUUACUGCACAAGGUGGCCAUGAUGAAAAACAAUCUAUAAGAAUAGGUAGAUGAUGAAGAUGAAUAGAACUGCUCAGUGAUUGACCAUGGCAGUGGUCAAAAUCCAGAGUACCAAAUCAGCUAACUGCGUGGCUAUGAUUUCAUGAACACAGUCAUGCAAAAAGAAAAGCAGAAAGUAAUGAAAGAGCUAAAGCACCUUCAUCAGCAAAUGCCAGGCUAGAGAUGGACCCAGAGAAAGCUCUCAAGACCUCACUGCCCCCAGCCUUUGGACAAAUUCAGAUCUGGAUUUGGAUGUGGAUGAAACUUUGUUCAGAUUCAGCUGCAUAUUCGUCAGCAGGUGAUACAGCAAGCAGCAUCA